rnacentral:rRNA from 1 species
GUCCAUGCCGUAACGUUGGAACUAGAUGUAGGGCCAUUCCACGGUUCUGUGUCGCAGCUAACGCAUUAAGUUCCCGCCUGGGAGUACGGCCGCAAGGCUAAACUCAAGGAAUUGACGGGCCCGCACAAGCGGCGGAGCAUGCGGAUUAAUUCGAUGCAACGCGAAGAACCUUACCAAGGCUUGACAUAUACCGGAACGUCCAGAGAUGGUCGCCCCGCAAGGUCGGUAUACAGGUGGUGCAUGGUUGUCGU